UCCCUCUUCAUCUGGAGCGGUUUGAGCAUGCCCUAGAUUCUACCCGUCUCUUCCAAAUCGGGGUAUCACUCCUCCAAAAAUCCCUAUCCUUCCACUAGAAACCCUUCAUCUCACCCUCAUAUUUGCUCUCCCAAGCUCCUUGCUAGUCUCGUCAGUGCAAAUGGCUCCAAAAAUGAAGCUCCCAUAAAGAAAAAAAUCGAUCCGUGG
rnacentral:lncRNA from 1 species